AUCAACCACUUUAAAUCUAAAACUUUAGUCAGGGACAGGUCUUCCGUUUUUUCCAAUUAAAUCACAGUUAAUUUCAAUAUUUCGCAUAAUUAAAUAAAAAUAAAGAACAGAAGAGCGGAUUGUCGAAGAGACCCUCAAGGACUAAAGCUCCAAUCAAUUCCGGAGAUAGGAUGACAGACAGCGGGCCUGACGCGGGGAGAUUUUUCAAAGCCACGCGCAGGUUCGUACGCUUCAGAGUGGAACUGUUCUGCACGAGCCUCCUGGAAACAAGCGGAAAUAAAGUGCGCUUUUAAAACAGCGGAAAUGCACGCGGCGAAAACCGACAGUUUGCAAAACGGCUCCCCGCGAGACACAUUUUCUGACGGCAGGACUCGUUUCUGCUUCCGUGGACGCCGGAGAGCGCGAGAUGCAUCCGGAGCCACGCCGGGCACGAGGGGAUUCAUAGGAAGUGUUUAUAUCACCGAACCCCGAUGAAAACAGCAAGUCGAAUGUUAACUGAGCAGAGAGAAGAGAGGGAGCAAGAGACCCAUGAAACAUUAAAGCAGGAAAAUGCUUCCGACUCGCUUCGUCUUGCCCUCCGGCGUCAAAUCCAGCUCCAUGGAUAAAGCCGUGGCUGGGAGCAGCUGUUUGCAGGUCAGUGGUCGGUGACCGCCGUUAAGGAAGUGGAGAAGCGGAGUGGUGAUGCACAGAACCUGACGCACAGGGUGGAGGACGUCCUCCACCUGCCAGAAAAACCAGUCCGUGGUGGUCUCAGUACGCCAGUGGCUUGGAGAGUGAUCUGUGAUAUGGGGGCUUGAUUCGGGUCAUGUGACGGUCUUUGGCCGUGACCCCAGUACCACAGCGAGGUGGGGCCAACCAGGGGGGGAGAACGUCCCAGUUUAUCUCAAUGCAGUGCACUGUGGGAUACUGCCAAACCACCAAGCUUGUGUCAGUUGCUGGCCCCUUCAGCUGAGCGGUGGCAGAAAGGUCACUGUACUCGCACAAAGACACAACGUGUCCAGUCUUCUCCCCGGCCGCCCGCCAGGGCUGCAGCUCAGAACACAAAGUAAACUUUUGACCCCUGACCUGGAGCCUGACACGUUAGCCAUUAGUCAUUAUGAAUUUUGUUAUGUUGUUAAUUAUUCUUUUUUUGUUUUUUUUGUUUUUUUUUGGAGAAUCUUGCUGAAGUUGCACAAUAAGACUUUCGAUGUUAAUUUAACUCCUAACAGAGUUUAUACGGGCCCUGUUGGGAUCAAGCUUUCUCAGUCAGAGUACAAUUUACUCCAUCAGAGUUGAUUUAAAACUUCAUAUUUUCUGGUCUCGCUCCACUCAACUGUAUAAAACAUAUGAGAUUAGUCAUCAAAGGGCACACCAUUACAAUACCACUGAAAAAUACCGUUGGUGCUCUGCACAUUACAUCACACAAUAUUCAGUGUAAAAUCAACAUUGAUAGGGUACUUUAAACUCUGAUACUGUACAGAAAGCCUUAAGUACCGUUACAAUUCCAGUUUAACUAAUCUCUUGCGUUUGUAUCCAUCAAAUUCAUUUUGAGCAGUUUGGGUUGGCCAACAGAACGACGAGAGGCUUCAAGAUACCAUAGAACAACAAAGCAGUUCCAGAGAUACGGAGGACA